rnacentral:pre_miRNA from 1 species
UAAAUACUCCUUCCGUCCGAAAAUACUUGUCAUCAAAAUGGAUAAAAAGAUAUGUAUCUAAAACUAAAAUACGUCUAGAUACAUUUCCUUUUAUCCAUUUUGAUGACAAGUAUUUCCGGACGGAGGGAGUAUUUG